CAGCUCCUCCUCUUCCGGCUCGGCUGCCGGCGCGCGGCCCCCUUCUUCCGCUCCCAGAGUGCCGCGCGCGCCGUGCCCAGACUGUCGCGCCUGUCACCAUCUUGAGGAGGGGAGAGACCGGAGACAGGAAGAUUGGUUAUAUUGAUCUCACCAGGCCCUCUCACUGACAUUUGAGUGAUUUUGGACUGGACCAGCUUCUUCUGCCUUUUCAUGGUGAUAGAAGUGAUCACCGAUUCCAGGAGGAUGCCUUGCUGUGGUCCCAAGAGGCCGAACAUGGGGUUCUCAGCACAGCUAACUGCUUGGUGUAUCCUCUUCUCUGCUACUGAGGAAGUCACGUCACAAGGACACCCAGUGCUAGUCCUUGCUCACACCUGUGUGCAGUGCCGACCACGCCAUUGCUUUGAACCAGGGUAAAGGUAGAGACUCCCUCCAUGAAGGCACAACUCUUUCUUUUUUGGCUCCUUUGUUAAACCCAUCUAUGCUCGGCCCUCUUCUGCUGUCCAGGUAUGUGGAUGAUAAACAAAUUAUACACAUUACAUUCAUCCAUGCUUGUGGGAAAUUGAAAUGAUACACAAGUGUGUAAAAAUAAAUUAUCUUCCUUCAUUCUCCCAGCCACACUUUCCCCUGUUAACUGAUCAUGGCUAUUAUCUUAGUGUGUAUCAUUCUAGCCUUUAUAUAUGUAUUUGAAAAAAAUAGUAUUACAUUUGGCAACCUAUUUAACAUUUCUUGAUCUUUUCAUGUCAGUGCAUACAAAUUACAUCGCAUUCUUUAAAAUUUUUUCUUAGAUUCCCAUAUAUGGAUGAAUCAAUAUUUACCCUGAGAGUAUUCAUGAAUAUUUAACUUCCCAGUUUUGUAAUGUAAAAAUAAGGUUUUUAGGUUGAAAGGCUUUUCACAUUAACAUUUUGAUAGAUACUGCCCAACACUCCUCCUAAAAGCUAUGCCUACUUUAUAUUCCUUACACCAGUAUGCAGGAAGGCCUAUUUCCACAUAUACUCACAAAUACUGGAUCUUAUUUACUCUCUUAAUUUUUAAUGAUCUGAUGGAAAAACAUCUCUUUAUUUUAAUUUACACUUUUUCCCUGAUUAUCUGUGAGAUUAAGCAUCUUUUCACAGGUUUUUUUUUUCUUGUGUACUUUUAAACACUGUCAGUUUACAUCUUUUUCUCAGUUUUAUUUUGGGUUGUUUGUCUUUUUCUGUUGCUGUUUAGGAGCUCUUUGUAUAUUAUGGAUUUUAGCUCUUUGCUAAAUACAUCACAACUGUAUUCUCUAGUUGCUGUCUUUUAACUGCAUUUCUGUAUCUUUUGUUAUAGAAGAUCUAAAUUUUAUCUAGUUGCUUUGGCUUUCAUACCUUUAAAAUGAUAUAUUUUAUAUUUGUAAAGGAAUGUGAAGUUUAAAAAUUAUUCAGUUUCUUUUGUGGUCAAACAGGCUAAUAUUUACAUGUUACAAAUAAUAAAAACAUAGCUCAAGUUUAAAGCUCUUGUAAACUUAAGCUGUUUAAAAACAAGUGUUUAAUACCUACUAUGUGUUUAAUGUGUUGGAUAAUAAAGAAACAUGGUCUCUGCCUUCAGGGCAUUUGUAUGAAAAAUACUUAGAUAUUCCUUAGAAAGUUAUAUUGGGUAUUACUUUGUUAAGUGCUAAAUUUGUUACAGGAAAAAAAAGUGGAAUCAAGGCACUAGGUCAGCAGAGUAUGUACACUAGUACCUUGUAAAGGCUAUUAGCAUAGUGGGAAACUUGAACUGGAGCAUAAGCCAGGAAAGAUUUACUUAAAAGGUUGCAUAACAAACCACUCCAAAGUUUAGUGGCUUCAAAGAAUACCUACUUAAAUUGCUCUUAAUACUGCCGUUUGUCAAUGUUGGUUGAGUUCAGCUGGGCAGUUCUUCUGGUGUGGGCUAAACUUGGCUAAUCUUGGCUUCCUUAUACAUCUCUUGUAUAAUAGUUUGGGCUGACUUAUUUAUGAUGACUGCAUCUGGGACAGCUGGGAUGAUGGGUGCUGUUUCUCAGAUGGGCUCUCAACCUCCAAUAGGCUAGCCUGGUUUUGUUUCCCAUGGUGGGCAGAGAUCUCUAACAGUUUGGGAAUGGAGGUUGCAAGGCCUUUUGAGGUAUAGGCUCAUGAUCGACACAUUGCCAUUUUUGUACAUUCUGUUGCUUAAUUUACCUGAUAACUUACUUAACCAACUCAGAUUCAAGGAAUGGGAAAAUAUACUUUAACUUUUGAUGGGAGGUGCUAAAAUAUUGUGGCCAUUUUUGCAGCCUACUGCAGAAUUUCAGACUCAUGUUUGCUGAGUGACUUAAUCCUUACAGUUAUAGAUGAUGAUCAUGUUCAAAAUCUAUCUGUGACAAGCUAGGUAGAAAUACAAGUAGCAAUAGAGUAGAAGUCUGAAUACAGAUGGCUUUUUUUCUUGGCUGAAUGUGUAUUUCUUUGGGGAGGAAACUUUCGUCUUGUUUUCAAUAGGAUGAUUAAGAGCAUGUUUGGAUUUCUAGAUGGGCCAGAAUGAGAUAUAGGGUAAACUUGCCCCCAAACCCUUUUUUAAAAAAACAAAAUAUACUGAAAGGGUGAAGGAGAUGUGGUGUCUAGUUCUGGCAAUGAAUGCCAUGACCACAAAUGCAAAGAAAGCAUUAACUAAAAAAGCUACACACUACAGUUCUCCAACUUAGAAAAGCCAGCUUCUAGUCUUGAUUGCUUGUAUUCAUCUUUAUCUUCAAGUUAGUUGACUUGGCUUGAAAUUUCUGGUUUAAAUGAUUGGUGUAAUUCCUCUUAUCUUAUUUUGGUCUUGUAGAAACAGUUCUAGAAGUUCCAUCAAUUCUUGUUUUUAUUAUUUGAAGGUAAGGGGAAGUGACCAGUAAAUCCUUUCCCUAAGCUUCUCUCCCUUCUAGUGAUCAUGAAAGCUUGUUAGUUCAGAAGUAGCAGUGAGGUUCAGGCAUAGCCAAGUAGACCUGCUGGUUCAUGUGUUCAUUUAUAGAGUUGUGUUCUCUCGGCCAAACCUUCAACUCAGAAUGUAGCAUGAGUGGUGUCUGGGUGUAACCUAAAAUACUAUAUGUGAAGGUGGUGUUUAUUUAAAAACUCAAGGUUAUUCUCCACUGUACUCAGUUCUUUUUUAAGGAGGAGACACCUUAUUAUUUCUAUAUAUUUAUACAUAAAAAAGUCUGAUUUCCUUCUGAUUUUUCUUCAUGUACAGAAUGAUGCUAACUAAAAUAAAUAUGCUGUUCAGUAGAAGAACAGUGUAUCACAGUGGAGUUGUCCGUGAAUGCUGGAGUCAGAAUCUUGUUUGAAUUAGAAUGUCAGCUAAGUUAAGGCACCCUACAGAGAUGUAUAAUGCUAGAGCUUCCAGCAGUCCAUACUGUCUUUAUUGUGAGACAUAUUUAUAUUUUCCAGACUAGUAAUUAAUCACUCAAUGUGGUUUUUUUAGGGGGGAAGUUGUGCACUCCCAGAGAAUCUUUCUGUACUUCCAGGAACCACAAAGUAUGGACACAAUUAAAAUGCUGAUUUAAUUUAUUAUAUUGAGGCAUGGAACAAGAAUGUUUAAACGAUGUUGACGGGGCCAGAAUUUCAGAACCCCCUUUUUAAAAAUAGAAAACAAAUGCCUAGUCACUUAAAUUAAAUCAUAUUAGUAACAUGUUUCAGUAUGUUGCUUAGAAGCAAAAUUCUUGACAUGAAUUAAAAUUUGAAGAUGUUGUAUCAUUUGUUGUUGAUGCUCAGUCUUUGUUAGGGGAAAUACAUUUCAAAGUGAUCUAUUUAUGAAAAUUAA